UACGUAGGGUGCAAGCGUUGUCCGGAAUUAUUGGGCGUAAAGAGCUCGUAGGCGGUCUGUCGCGUCGGCUGUGAAAACCCGGGGCUCAACCCCGGGUCUGCAUUCGAUACGGGCUAGCUAGAGUGUGGUAGGGGAGAUCGGAAUUCCUGGUGUAGCGGUGAAAUGCGCAGAUAUCAGGAGGAACACCGAUUGCGAAGGCAGCUCGCUGGGACGUUACUGACGCUGAGACGCGAAAGCGUGGGGAGCAAACAGG
rnacentral:rRNA from 1 species